rnacentral:rRNA from 1 species
UACGUAGGGUGCUAACGUUGUUCGGAAUCACUGGGCAUAAAGAGCGUGUAGGCGGUCCGGUAAGUCCGCUGUGAAAGUCGGGGGCUCAACCCUCGAAUGCCGGUGGAUACUGUCGGGCUAGAGUGCGGAAGAGGCGAGUGGAAUUCCUGGUGUAGCGGUGAAAUGCGCAGAUAUCAGGAGGAACACCUAUUGCGAAGGCAGCUCGCUGGGACGUAACUGACGCUGAGACGCGAAAGCGUGGGGAGCAAACAGG